GAUGAAGAACGCAGCGAAAUGCGAUACUUGGUGUGAAUUGCAGAAUCCCGUGAACCAUCGAGUCUUUGAACGCAAGUUGCGCCCGAAGCCACUAGGCCGAGGGCACGCCUGCCUGGGCGUCACACGCCGUUGCCCCCCCAUCUACUCCUUCGGGGUUGCGGGGGGGCGGAUGAUGGCCUCCCGUGCGCCUAGCCGCGCGGUUGGCAUAAAUACCAAGUCCUCGGCGACGCACGCCACGACAAUCGGUGGUUGCGAAACCUCGGUUGCCCGUCGUGUGCGUUCGUCGCGCAUCGAGGGCUCGAAAAAAUGCUCGGCUCCGGCUGGGCUUUCAACGCGACCCCAGGUCAGGCGGGGUUACCCGCUGAAUUUAAGCAUAUCAAUAAGCGGAGGA
rnacentral:misc_RNA from 1 species